UACAGAGGUCUCAAGCGUUGUUCGGAUUCAUUGGGCGUAAGGGGUGCGUAGGUGGCGGGGCAAGUUGGAUGUGAAAUCCCGGAGCUUAACUCCGGAACUGCAUUCAAUACUGCCUUGCUAGAGUACUGGAGAGGAGAUUGGAAUUUACGGUGUAGCAGUGAAAUGCGUAGAUAUCGUAAGGAAGACCAGUGGCGAAGGCGGAUCUCUGGACAGUUACUGACGCUGAGGCGCGAAAGCCAGGGGAGCAAACGGG
rnacentral:rRNA from 1 species